rnacentral:rRNA from 1 species
AUGAACGCUGGCGGCGUGCUUAACACAUGCAAGUCGCACGGAAAGGCUCCUGCUUGCAGGGGUACUCGAGUGGCGAACGGGUGAGUAACACGUGGGUGAUCUGCCCUGCACUUCGGGAUAAGCCUGGGAAACUGGGUCUAAUACCGGAUAGGACCACAUUUUGGAUGGUGUGGUGGAAAGUUUUUCGGUGUGGGAUGAGCUCGCGGCCUAUCAGCUUGUUGGUGGGGUAAUGGCCUACCAAGGCGUCGACGGGUAGCCGGCCUGAGAGGGUGUACGGCCACAUUGGGACUGAGAUACGGCCCAGACUCCUACGGGAGGCAGCAGUGGGGAAUAUUGCACAAUGGGCGCAAGCCUGAUGCAGCGACGCCGCGUGGGGGAUGACGGCCUUCGGGUUGUAAACUCCUUUCGCUAGGGACGAAGCGCAAGUGACGGUACCUGGAGAAGAAGCACCGGCUAACUACGUG